GAAUAAACGCGCUGGUGGAGAGUGCGGAGGUGCAGAAAACAGUCAACGAAGAAGCAGAGCAGCUGCUCAUGCUGGAAAUUCAGUAUUCAUUUCGACCAAACAAGGCUAACCUUCCAUCGUAGCACCUCUCCUGGCGCCACCCUUGUCCCUGGAGCCUAGCGGACACCUGAAGGCUCAACACAGACGGAGCGACGCACACAGGGCAGUGACACAUACAUAGAGACAGACAGGCAAACACAAAGGAAUACCGAAG